rnacentral:rRNA from 1 species
CAGCCGCCACGGUAAUACAGAGGGUGCGAGCGUUAAUCGGAUUUACUGGGCGUAAAGCGUGCGUAGGCGGCUUCUUAAGUCGGAUGUGAAAUCCCUGAGCUUAACUUAGGAAUUGCAUUCGAUACUGGGAAGCUAGAGUAUGGGAGAGGAUGGUAGAAUUCCAGGUGUAGCGGUGAAAUGCGUAGAGAUCUGGAGGAAUACCGAUGGCGAAGGCAGCCAUAUGGCCUAAUACUGACGCUGAGGUACGAAAGCAUGGGGAGCAAACAGGAUUAGAUACCCGCGUAGUCCCUGUCUCUUAUAC